CCACACAGCUAAGUGGAGCUUCCCGCAGCAUGCCAGCUGGGUUCUGAGUGGGAGAACCUCCAAAAGGACAGGCCAGGUGUUCAGGAAAGAAAUGAAAAAGACUGCUAACUGGAGAUGCAAAAGAAACAGCACAGUUAAUGCCUUAUUUGGAAGAAGAACAAAGUUGGAGGGCUGACACUACCGAACUUCACGAAUUAUUUGCAAGCUGUGGUAAUCAAGACAGUGCGAUACAGGUGAAAGGAGAGAAAAAUAGAUCAAUGGAAUAGAAUAGAAUAGAGAACCCAGAAAUAGAUUCCCAUAAAUGGAUUCCCAGUUGUUCCAAAUGGUUCUGGAACAACUGGACACCACAUGCGCAAAAAAAAAAAAAAAAGAAGAAUCUGGACACAGAUCUUAGAUCUUUCACAAAAAUUAACUCAAAGUGGAUCAUAGAGCUAAAUGCAAAAUGCAAGCUUAUAAAACUCCUAGAAAAUGCCAUGGAAGAAAAUCUAGAUGAUCUUGGAUAUGGCAGCGAUCUUUUAGAUAUAACAUCAAAGCGACAAUUCAUGAAAGAAAUCAUUAAACUUAAAACCUUAAGCUCUGUGAAAGAACUGUCAAGAUGAGAAGAGGCACAAACUAGGAGAACAUUUUUACAAAAGACAUUUCUGCUAAAGGACUGUUAUUUGCAAUAUUGAAAGAACCGUUACAUCUCAACAAUAAGAACAUGGAUAAGCUGAUAUUUAAAAUGGGCCAAAGAGUUGAAAAGCUACUUCCCUAAAUAACAUACACGUAAGGCAAAUAAGUACAUGAAAAGAUGCUCCACGUUAUACGUCACUGGUGGUGGUUUAGUCACCAAGUCACGUCUGACUCUUGCGACCCCAUGGACCAUAGCCCUCCAGGCUCCUCUGUCCACGGAAUUCCCCAGGCAAGAAUACUGGAGGGGGCCGCCAUUUCCUUCUCCACUCACAUGUCAUUAGUGAAAUGCAAAUUAAACAACAGUGAAAAAUCAUUACAUGCCUAGGAGAAUGGCUGAGACCUGGAACACUGACAACACCAAAUGCUGUGAAGAUAUGAGG
ensembl:lncRNA